GUACCUACGGGACGCAGCAGUGAGGAAUAUUGGUCAAUGGUCGGGAGACUGAACCAGCCAAGCCGCGUGAGGGAUGAAGGUACAGAGUAUCGUAAACCUCUUUUGUCAGGGAACAAAGGCGGGGACGCGUCCCCGGAUGAGUGUACCUGAAGAAAAAGCAUCGGCUAACUCCGUGCCAGCAGCCGCGGUAAUACGGAGGAUGCGGGCGUUAUCCGGUCUUAUUGGGUUUAAAGGGUGCGCAGGCGGUCUGUUAAGUCAGCGGUCAAAGCCCGGGGCUCAACCCCGGCCCGCCGUUGAACAUGGCC
rnacentral:rRNA from 1 species